GUGUUUCAGGGUGGCUUGCAAGACAUGUGGAAAAUAUGGUUGGGGAGGUUGUGGGGAACAUCUUAAAACACUCUAUGCUAGCAUAGAGACGGGUAAGCAUUGUAUGUGUCGUUCAUGGCCCGGCGUUGUCAUCCCAUCAAGUCAUAACCCAUCAGCCUCAACCACGACCACCACCACUGCCGCCACCACCACCACAGCCACUGCAGGUUAAGUUGAGCGUUAUGGAAUCUUGAUGAUCAGGGGCAGGUGGUAUGUUAGUUUGGAAGCCUGUGUACUUUUCAUAAUAAAAGAAUAAUUGUUGUUGGAUACCAUCGUAUCCUUUCCACAAACUAUUGUUGGGAAAGUAGUUAUGGAUUGUAAUAAUGUUACAUGUCUUGGGAACGUUUGCGUUAAUUGGGUUAUUUUUAUACGCAUGUUCUAGAUAAAUCAAAGGGAAAGAAGAUAAGUUUUUGGCUA